rnacentral:rRNA from 1 species
AUGGCGAGGGUAUUGGAGAACGAUGAUGUCAACUCAGCUAAUGAAUCAGGGAAUAUGAUGGCAUGCUUAUUACCUCCAGCCAAGAGGAAGGAAAUAGGAAGGCCUAUAACAAGCAAAGAAAAGGCAUCGUAUGAAGGGCUAAGUAAGAGAACAAGGUUCUGUAUGAUUUGUCGGCGACAAGGUCACAAGCGGACAACCUGCCCUGACCUUGGAGACGUGCUAAAACAGCCUCGGAAGCCGGAGAGAUGUAAAAAUUGUGGAGUUGAAGGGCAUCGUCAAAACAACUGCCACAAAGCGCCUGAGCUCAGGAUGAAGAUUUGA